rnacentral:tRNA from 1 species
GGAGGAGUACCCAAGUGGUUCAAGGGGGCGGUUUGCUAAACCGUUAGGUCGGGGUAACCCGGCGCGUGGGUUCAAAUCCCACCUCCUCCG